rnacentral:misc_RNA from 1 species
AAAAUGCGAUACGUAAUGCGAAUUGCAGAAUUCAGUGAAUCAUCAAAUCUUUGAACGCAAAUUGCGCUCUCGGGAUAGGCCUGGGAGCACGCCUCUUUGAGUAUCGAUUCCACAACAACUCGAACGCGUGCGCUUAUGUGCACACGGACGGAAAUUGAGUGUUCUCGCUAAACACGAGACGCUUUAAUGGCAGCGAGUGGCACGAUCACGACUUGGACGCCGCAAAUCGCUAGUGACGAGGAUAACUUCACAUUCAGUUGUGGACCCUUCCAUCGUGACUUUGCUGGUGAGUGUGCAUUCAGCUCGGACGGUCAAUGUGCGCACGGCACUUCUCUGUUCUGAACAGCAGGGAAAAUUUUUUGAACUAGAUCUCAAAUGAAGCGAGAAAACCCGCUGAACU